rnacentral:rRNA from 1 species
GUGGGGAAUAUUGGACAAUGGGGGCAACCCUGAUCCAGCCAUGCCGCGUGAGUGAUGAAGGCCUUCGGGUUGUAAAGCUCUUUUGGCGGGGACGAUGAUGACGGUACCCGCAGAAUAAGCCCCGGCUAACUUCGUGCCAGCAGCCGCGGUAAGACGAAGGGGGCUAGCGUUGUUCGGAAUUACUGGGCGUAAAGCGUGUGUAGGUGGUUGUCAUAGUCAGGUGUGAAAGCCUUGAGCUCAACUCAAGAAAUGCACUUGAUACUGGGCAGCUAGAGGACCGGAGAGGAUAGUGGAAUUCCCAGUGUAGUGGUGAAAUACGUAGAGAUUGGGAAGAACACCAGUGGCGAAGGCGGCUAUCUGGACGGUUUCUGACACUAAGACACGAAAGCGUGGGGAGCAAACAGGAUUAGAAACCCCGGUAGUCC